rnacentral:rRNA from 1 species
GACGGAGGAUGCAAGUGUUCUCCGGAAUCACUGGGCGUAAAGCGUCUGUAGGUGGUCAAAUAAGUCAACUGUUAAAUCUUGAGGCUCAACCUCAAAAUCGCAGUCGAAACUAUUAGACUAGAGUAUAGUAGGGGUAAAGGGAAUUUCCAGUGGAGCGGUGAAAUGCGUAGAGAUUGGAAAGAACACCGAUGGCGAAGGCACUUUACUGGGCUAUUACUAACACUCAGAGACGAAAGCUAGGGUAGCAAAUGGG